GCUUCAGAGCCUAAAUACUCUGAAGGCACCUGAUUCUGUCCAAUCUUGCAAGCUAAGCAGGGUCAGGCCUGGUUAGUACUUGGAUGGGAGACUACCAAGGAAUAACAGGUUAUAGAGGUU
rnacentral:rRNA from 1 species